UGAGCCACCGCACCAGGCCACAAAUAAUGUUUUUAACUAAAAAAAAAAAUUAUUUAGGGUUACAGAGGAUACCAAUUAUAUUGAAUCAUGAUUUGUCCUACUUUUUAAAAAGUGUCAAUAAGAUCUAGAGAUGAGUCUAUUAAUUACUAUAAUUUUGAAGUGGUGAAUGAAAAUAACUAGUAUUUCAAUAUGUCUCUACUGUAAUACAAUAUGAAAAUAUCUGUGAUUUCUAUUGGUGACAAAGUCACAAGCACUACUAAUACUAUCGUGGGUUUUCUUACCAAUAUGCAUGAUGAAAGAAAAUACUGAAUUUCAGUUAGAGGUAAUGCAUACCAAGGAUGUGAUUUUUCCCACGUAAAUUCAUGAACCUUCUACACUCUAUCCAGAGGCUCCUUGGGCUCCAUGGACUCUAUGUGAACAUCCUCUCAUGUCUCUGUUCUAGCUCCUACUUUAAUGCUUUUUCCUUCAUUAUAUGCAUUGUGUUCCUUCAUUCUGUUCUCCUGCAGACACUUAUUACAGAGCUAUGAUGUGCCAGGCAAUACCCAUCCUGUAUGUCAUGUAGUCCUUGAAAACUUCCUUUGAGAAUGAGGCUCUUGUGUCUUGAUCAGAGAGAAGCGACCUACACGGUUGGACAGCAAAUCCAGGAACAAACCAGUGGCCCACAUACCAGCCAGGCUCUUCCUCACUCUUUGUGGCCACACUUUCUGUUUAGGUCUUCGUUGGUUUGCUGUCUGUUUGUUUUACUAGGCGAUCUUUCAGACACACAAAGCGACAUGAAGAAUAAUACAGGGACCACCCACAUAGUUUACAAAAUAAAAAAAUUGGCUGACUCUGGGUUCACUGCUUGGGAGUUAGCCCUGCUCUGAAAGGAACAGCUUAAAAAAUAAAAAAGUAAAUAAAAUAAAAUGUAAAAAAAAAAAAUUUGAUCCGGUUUGAAGUCCCUUGCAUACUCCUCCCUCCUCCCCAAGAGGUACUACACUCCUGAAUUUGGUAUUUAUUAUUCCCAUAUUCUUAUUUAUGCUCACAUAUGCAUGGAUCUUUGAGCAAUGUGUGGAAUUGCUUUGCAUGUAAUUAAAUUUUAAAUAAAUAGCAUCAUGCUGCAUGUAUUCUCCUGGAA